rnacentral:rRNA from 1 species
GAGUUUGAUCAUGGCUCAGAACGAACGCUGGCGGCGCGUCUUAAGCAUGCAAGUCGAACGGCAAGAAAGGAGCUUGCUCCUUUCCUAGAGUGGCGGACUGGUGAGGAACACGUGGGUAAUCUACCCUUGAGAUGGGGAUAGCCGUUAGAAAUAGCGGGUAAUACCGAAUAUUCUUAAAGUUUCACAAGAGAUUUUAAGGAAAGGAAGCUACGGCUUCGCUCGAGGAUGAGCCUGCGCCCCAUUAGCUAGUUGGUGAGGUAACGGCUCACCAAGGCGACGAUGGGUAUCCGGCCUGAGAGGGUGAUCGGACACAUUGGGACUGAGAUACGGCCCAAACUCCUACGGGAGGCAGCAGCUAAGAAUAUUCCGCAAUGGACGGAAGUCUGACGGAGCGACGCCGCGUGGAUGAAGAAGGCUGAAAAGUUGUAAAAUCCUUUUGUUGAUGAAGAAUAAGGGUAAGAGGGAAUGCUUAUCUGA